GAUGAACGCUGGCGGCGUGCCUAAUACAUGCAAGUCGAGCGAACGGACGAGAAGCUUGCUUCUCUGAUGUUAGCGGCGGACGGGUGAGUAACACGUGGAUAACCUACCUAUAAGACUGGGAUAACUUCGGGAAACCGGAGCUAAUACCGGAUAAUAUUUUGAACCGCAUGGUUCAAAAGUGAAAGACGGUCUUGCUGUCACUUAUAGAUGGAUCCGCGCUGCAUUAGCUAGUUGGUAAGGUAACGGCUUACCAAGGCAACGAUGCAUAGCCGACCUGAGAGGGUGAUCGGCCACACUGGAACUGAGACACGGUACAGACUCCUACGGGAGGCAGCAGUAGGGAAUCUUCCGCAAUGGGCGAAAGCCUGACGGAGCAACGCCGCGUGAGUGAUGAAGGUCUUCGGAUCGUAAAACUCUGUUAUUAGGGAAGAACAUAUGUGUAAGUAACUGUGCACAUCUUGACGGUACCUAAUCAGAAAGCCACGGCUAACUACGUG
rnacentral:rRNA from 1 species